GCGGUCAUGGCGGAAUUGGUAGACGCGCUAGAUUCAGGUUCUAGUCAGGGCAACCUGGUGGAUGUUCGAGUCAUCUUGACCGCA
rnacentral:tRNA from 2 species